CGGACGGGUGAGUAACGCGUGAGUAACCUGCCUUACACAAGGGGAUAGCCGUUGGAAACGACGAAUAAUACCCUAUGACAUARACUCUUCGCAUGAAGAGCUUAUCAAAGAUUUAUCGGUGUAAGAUGGACUCGCGUCUGAUUAGCUAGUUGGUGAGGUAACGGCCCACCAAGGCAACGAUCAGUAGCCGGCUUGAGAGAGUGUACGGCCACAUUGGGACUGAGACACGGCCCAGACUCCUACGGGAGGCAGCAGUGGGGAAUUUUGCACAAUGGGGGAAACCCUGAUGCAGCGACGCCGCGUGAUUUAGAAGGCCUUCGGGUUGUAAAAAUCUUUUGUAUGGGAAGAAAAUGACAGUACCAUACGAAUAAGGACCGGCUAAUUACGUGCCAGCAGCCGCGGUAAUACGUAAGGUCCGAGCGUUGUCCGGAAUCAUUGGGCGUAAAGGGUACGUAGGCGGAUAAGCAAGUUAGAAGUGAAAUCCUAUAGCUCAACUAUAGUAAGCUUUUAAAACUGCUCAUCUUGAGGUAUGGAAGGGAAAGUGGAAUUCCUAGUGUAGCGGUGAAAUGCGCAGAUAUUAGGAGGAAUACCGGUGGGCGAAGGCGACUUUYUGGCCAUWAACUGACGNUGAGGUACGAAAGCGUGGGUAGCAAACAGGAUUAGAUACCCUGGUAGUCCACGCCGUAAACGAUGAGUGUUAGGUGUCUGGAAUAAUCUGGGUGCCGCAGCUAACGCAAUAAACACUCCGCCUGGGGAGUACGCACGCAAGUGUGAAACUCAAAGGAAUUGACGGGGACCCGCACAAGCAGCGGAGCAUGUGGUUUAAUUCGACGCAACGCGAAGAACCUUACCAAGUCUUGACAUAUUACGGAGGGAAUUAGAGAUAGUUCCUUACUUCUUCGGAAGACUGUAAUACAGGUGGUGCAUGGUUGUCGUCAGCUCGUGUCGUGAGAUGUUGGGUUAAGUCCCAUAACGAGCGCAACCCCUAUAUUUAGUUACCAUCAUUAAGUUGGGGACUCUAGAUAUACUGCCGGUGAUAAACCGAAGGAAGGUGGGGAUGACGUCAAAUCAUCAUGCCCUUUAUGACUUGGGCUACACACGUGCUACAAUGGCAGGUACACAGGGAAGCAAGACUGCGAAGUUAAGCAAAACUCAAAAAGCCUGUCCCAGUUSGGAUUGCACUCUGCAACUCGAGUGCAGAAGU
rnacentral:rRNA from 1 species